UACGUAGGUGGCAAGCGUUGUCCGGAAUUAUUGGGCGUAAAGAGCUUGUAGGCGGUUUGUCGCGUCUGCUGUGAAAUUUCGGGGCUCAACCCCGAACUUGCAGUGGGUACGGGCAGACUAGAGUGUGGUAGGGGAGACUGGAAUUCCUGGUGUAGCGGUGAAAUGCGCAGAUAUCAGGAGGAACACCGAUGGCGAAGGCAGGUCUCUGGGCCACUACUGACGCUGAGGAGCGAAAGCAUGGGGAGCGAACAGG
rnacentral:rRNA from 1 species